rnacentral:rRNA from 1 species
UGGGUAUGUUAAUAGCAUACUCAUUUGACGUUUAGCUGCAGAAGAAGCACCGGCUAACUCCGUGCCAGCAGCCGCGGUAAUACGGAGGGUGCGAGCGUUAAUCGGAAUUACUGGGCGUAAAGCGCAUGCAGGUGGUUGUUAAGUCAGAUGUGAAAGCCCGGGGCUCAACCUCGGAAUUGCAUUUGAAACUGGCAAACUAGAGUACUGUAGAGGGGGUAGAAUUUCAGGUGUAGCGGUGAAAUGCGUAGAGAUCUGUAAGGAAUACCGGUGGCGAAGGCGGCCCCCUGGACAGAUACUGACACUCAGAUGCGAAAGCGUGGGGAGCAAACCAGGAUUAGAUCCCCUCGGUAG